AUUGAACGCUGGCGGCAUGCCUUACACAUGCCAGUCGAACGGUAACAGGUUAAGCUGACGAGUGGCGAACGGGUGAGUAAUGUAUCGGAACGUGCCCAGUCGUGGGGGAUAACUGCGCGAAAGAGCAGCUAAUACCGCAUACGACCUGAGGGUGAAAGCGGGGGAUCGCAAGACCUCGCACGAUUGGAACGGCCGAUAUCAGAUUAGGUAGUUGGUGAGGUAAAGGCGCACCAAGCCGACGGUCUUUAGCUGGUCUGAGAGGACGACCAGCCACACUGGGACUGAGACACGGCCCAGACUCCUCCGGGAGGAAGAAGUGGGGAAUUUUGGACAAUGGGCGCAAGCCUGAUCCAGCCAUGCCGCGUGCGGGAAGAAGGCCUUCGGGUUGUAAACCGCUUUUGUCAGGGAAGAAAAGGUUCUGGCUAAUACCUGGGACUCAUGACGGUACCUGAAGAAUAAGCACCGGCUAACUACGUG
rnacentral:rRNA from 1 species